CAGGGGGUAGUUUAAUUUAGUAAUGUCAGCUUUGGGAGUUGAAGGUGGGAUGUGGUAUCUCUCCCCUGA
rnacentral:tRNA from 1 species